rnacentral:rRNA from 1 species
GGUCAGGACGAACGCUGGCGGCGUGCCUAACACAUGCAAGUCGAGCGAGGAGAUCCUCGGGAUGAUCCUAGCGGCGGACGGGUGAGUAACACGUGGGCAACCUGCCUCAUAGAGAGGAAUAGCCUUCCGAAAGGGAGAUUAAUACCUCAUAACAUUGCAGUUUCGCAUGGAACAGCAAUUAAAGGAGUAAUCCGCUAUGAGAUGGGCCCGCGGCGCAUUAGCUAGUUGGUGAGGUAAUGGCUCACCAAGGCGACGAUGCGUAGCCGACCUGAGAGGGUGAUCGGCCACAUUGGGACUAAGACACGGCCCAGACUCCUACGGGAGGCAGCAGUGGGGAAUAUUGCACAAUGGGGGAAACCCUGAUGCAGCAACGCCGCGUGAGUGAUGACGGCCUUCGGGUUGUAAAGCUCUGUCUUCAGGGACGAUAAUGACGGUACCUGAGGAGGAAGCCACGGCUAACUACGUGCCAGCCGCCGC